AACGAACGCUGGCGGCGUGCUUAACACAUGCAAGUCGAACGCGAACGAUUUCUUUCGGGAAAUUUAGUAGAGUGGCGCACGGGUGAGUAACGCGUAAGUAAUCUACCUAGGCAUCUGGGAUAACAAUUCGAAAGGAUUGCUAAUACCGGAUACGUUGGAGACAAGAAAGGUGGCCUCUGUUUCAUGCUACUGUGCUUAGAGGAGCUUGCGUACCAUUAGCUAGUUGGUGGGGUAAUGGCCUACCAAGGCGACGAUGGUUAGUGGGUCUGAGAGGAUGAUCCGCCACACUGGAACUGGAACACGGACCAG
rnacentral:rRNA from 1 species